UACUUAUCACGCACUGACGCUAACAGCGG
rnacentral:ncRNA from 2 species